GACUUCAGGGCGGCAGUUCGGUCGGGAGGCAUGCCGUCUACUCAUUCCUCUGCCGUUACUGCUGUGGCUACUUUGCUUGGGCUGGAGAGGGGAUUCUCUGACUCCAUCUUUGGCAUGUCUGUUGUAUUUGCUACUCUAGUU